rnacentral:rRNA from 1 species
UACGAAGGGGGCUAGCGUUGUUCGGAAUCACUGGGCGUAAAGCGCUCGUAGGCGGAUCUUUAAGUCAGAGGUGAAAUCCCAAGGCUCAACCUUGGAACUGCCUUUGAUACUGGGGAUCUCGAGUCCGGGAGAGGUGAGUGGAACUGCGAGUGUAGAGGUGAAAUUCGUAGAUAUUCGCAAGAACACCAGUGGCGAAGGCGGCUCACUGGCCCGGUACUGACGCUGAGGUGCGAAAGCGUGGGGAGCAAACAGG